rnacentral:rRNA from 1 species
UACUCGGCAAAGCUCUAGAGAUAGAGUGGAGGUUAUCCGGGAUACAGGUGGUGCAUGGUUGUCGUCAGCUCGUGUCGUGAGAUGUUGGGUUAAGUCCCGCAACGGCGCAACCCUUGUCUUUAGUUACCAUCAUUCAGUUGGGGACUCUAGAGAGACUGCCGGUGAUAAACCGGAGGAAGGUGGGAUGACGUCAAAUCAUCAUGCCCCUUAUGGCCUGGGCUACAAACGUAAUACAAUGGCGUAUACAAAGGGAUGCGAAAGGGCGACCUGGAGCAAAACUCACAAAGUACGUCUCAGUUCAGAUUGGAGUCUGCAACUCGACUCCAUGAAGGCGGAAUCGCUAGUAAUCGCGGAUCAGCAUGCCGCGGUGAAUACGUUCUCGGGGUUU